AACGCGAAGAACCUUACCUGGAUUUGACAUCUCCUGACAUCCGUAGAGAUACGGCUUCUGUAGCAAUACAGCAGGAAGACAGGUGCUGCAUGGCUGUCGUCAGCUCGUGUGGUGACAUGUUGGGUUAAGUCCCGCAACGAGCGCAACCCUUGUCCUUAGUUGCCAGCAUUCAGUUGGGCUCUCUAAGGAGACUGCCGUGGUGAACACGGAGGAAGGUGGGGAUGACGUCAAGUCCUCAUGGCCUUUAUAUCCAGGGCGACACACGUGAUACAAUGGACGGUACAGAGGGACGCGAACCUGCGAAGGGGAGCUAAUCUCAAAAAGCCGUUCUCAGUUCGGAUUGGAGUCUGCAACUCGACUCCAUGAAGUUGGAAUCGCUAGUAAUCGCGGAUCAGCACGCCGCGGUGAAUACGUUCCCGGGCCUUGUACACACCGCUAGUC
rnacentral:rRNA from 1 species